GACAGAGGGUGCUAGCGUUGUUCGGAAUUACUGGGCGUAAAGGGCGCGUAGGCGGGCCGCAUAGUCGAGUGUGAAAGCCCGGGGCUCAACCCCGGAACUGCAUUCGAUACUGGCGGCCUUGAGUACGGAAGAGGAGAGUGGAAUACCCAGUGUAGAGGUGAAAUUCGUAGAUAUUGGGUGGAACACCAGUGGCGAAGGCGGCUCUCUGGUCCGUAACUGACGCUGAGGCGCGAAAGCGUGGGGAGCAAACAGG
rnacentral:rRNA from 1 species